GCAGAAACUGGUUUUUAGUUUCAAUCGGAAAGAGAAAACUGGGAAGAACUAUCGAAAUCCACCACCACCAAAUUUAUCGUCCCCACCACCUCCACUUCAAGAUCGUCUCUAAUUCCUCCACCACCUCAACCGAUUUUAUCAACAGUUCCAGCACUACCUCUUAUAUUUCGACCAAACUUCACCACCAGUAACACCACCACCACCUUUUAAAAAAUCGAUUUAGAUCUAUUUUUCCUUGAUUCAACUACAAAACUUAAAUCUAAAGAUGAAUUAACGAGGAACUAAUCUCCAAACCUAAUCUUGAGUCUCGAGCAUGAGAAAUGUAAUUUCAGUGUGAUUCGAGAGAGAGAUUUGAGUGGUUGAGUGGUUCGAUUGAAAUCAUCGUCCACCAACAGGAGUAGCGGAAUUUGAUAAUUGAUCCCGUUCCCAAAUUUUAUGAUUUCGAUUUGAAGAUUCGUAGAGUUGUAUAAGUUGAUCCCGAGAUUAACAAGUAAGAUUGUUGUUUGUUUUAGGUGGUGAAUUUAAUUCUUAUUUUUUGUUGUAUGUUCUAGUGAGAUAUAAGUGCAAUUACAAUUUGGGUCGAGUUAAUGACAACAUACGAGAUUGGGUUGUUGUUGGAUUUUGAGAUGAAGUUGUUGUUGUGGGUUCAGUGCAUUUGGACUCAAUUGAUGCAGAUGAUGGAGGAUAAGUUGAACGGAAGUACUAAUUUAAAUGUUGUUUAAAGCUUACAGGGAAUGAGGAUGAACUCAUUGUGGUGAUGUUGUUAUACUGCGGUGGUUGCUUGAUGAAGCUGAAGCAGAUUUAGCAGUAGUGAUGCCAGAGCUGAAGUUAGAUUAAUGUUUAGGUUGCUGCUGCAAUGGAGGAAAGUGGUGGUGCUUCAGUCUCAGAUGGUGUUGAACUGGUGAUUUAUGUUGCUGCAGUGGGAGGUGGUGGUGUCUUAUAAAAAAUGAUGAGACUGAAGUCAUCCUUGAAUUGACAUUUCAGAUGCAAUAUUGGUGUGUGGUUCAGUUGCUAACAGGAUGUGAUAUUGCAGAUGCGAUAUUGGUGUAUGGCGUGUGUGGUUCAUGUGGUAAUAGAAUGGUUCGAGUGGUAGUAGAAUAUGAUUGAGUUUUGGUGAUGCUACAAAAGAAAAAUUGCAGCUGUUGUUGUUGCUGGAGUUGAGCUAUAAGUUGUGGAACAAGGUUGCAGUUGGUGAAGAAGUGAAAAAAUGAGAGUUGAAGUGCAUAACAGUUUGUUGUUGCAGUUGAAGCUUGGUGAAUAGAGCUGGGUUUGCGGUUGUUAAGUUGAGCUUACUGAUGGACGCGCAACUAGUAUAUGUCAGUUAGUUUUUGCCAAACCAGCUUGUUCUAUACAUUAUAUUUUUUGGAGACAACUUGAGCUAGUUGCCUUCGAUAAGGACACAACAUCGGCAAGUUGACUUCACAUGAUGGUGAUGGAAGCGGUGGUUGCUGGUGGUGAUUGGCGGUGGUGGUGGAGGAAAGUGGUGGUGGUUGUCGGUGAUGGUGGGCAGUGGCGGUGG